AACGAACGCUGGCGGCAGGCCUAACACAUGCAAGUCGAGCGCUCACCUUAGGGUGGGAGCGGCGCACGGGUGAGUAACACGUGGGAACCUACCUUGAAGUACGGAAUAACUGAGGGAAACUUCAGCUAAUACCGUAUACGCCCUACGGGGGAAAGAUUUAUCGCUUUAAGACGGGCCCGCGUUGGAUUAGCUAGUUGGUGAGGUAAUGGCUUACCAAGGCUACGAUCCAUAGCUGAUUUGAGAGAAUGAUCAGCCACACUGGGACUGAGACACGGCCCAGACUCCUACGGGAGGCAGCAGUGGGGAAUAUUGGACAAUGGGCGCAAGCCUGAUCCAGCCAUGCCGCGUGAGUGAUGAAGGCCUUCGGGUUGUAAAGCUCUUUCAGAUGGGACGAUGAUGACGGUACCAUCAGAAGAAGCCCCGGCUAACUUCGUGCCAGCCGCCGCGGUAAAAC
rnacentral:rRNA from 1 species